AACACAAAAGGAAGGUGCAGGGACAUCUGCCAUGUUCUCCAGGCCUUUUAGAAAACAUGCAAAAGAAAACAUGGAGUUGUUCCUUUGGCCACAUACAUGUGACUCUACAAAAAAUUGUGAUACUGUAGACAUCAAGGGAAUACGCACUGUUAAAAAAUGGGAAUGCCCCAAAAAUGUUACCAUGGCAAAACCAGAAAGUCUACAGUGUCCCCCAGUACGCUGUUAGCAUUGUUGUAAACAAACAAGUUAAGGACCAGAGAAUUAAUGUGCAUAUUGAGCAUAUUAGGCACCAGAAAUGCAUGAAGGAAAAUGAUUAGAAAAAGAAGGAAGGCAAAGAAUAAGAUACCUGUGUUUAACGAAGCGCCAGCCUGCUCCACCCAGGGAAGCACACUUUGUGAGAGCCAGUGGAAUGGGGUCUGGGCUGCUGGAACCUAUUCCCUAUGCUUCAUGUCAU
rnacentral:lncRNA from 1 species